UGCUAAUGCCUUCCUGUCUUCAUUAGCUGGUUUCUGCAUGAAAAUAAGAUGUUAACCCCUGUCAAAGAUGAGUAGCCCUCCGUCGAAUAUUAAACCACAUACAAUAUAUUCUGUGAAGAUGUCAUAAGAGAAAGAAUCAUAAAUGGCCAGCAAAGUUGUCUUGUACAGAGAGAGAGAGAGAGAGAAAUGGGGUUUAACGUCCACUCAACACAAACUAGGUCAUUUUGGGACUAACAUACGGUUUCAAUUUUAUUUCAAUAAUUCGCUUGCGCGUAUGGGUCUUUAGCAGUGAGAGGAAACCGGAGUGCCCGGAGGAAACCCACAAGGUUGAGAAGACGCCUCUAUCUCCAUGCCACAUACGCUCACACCUGGGAUCAAAGCCACAGCCACAAGCCAGAGGUGACCGACCAGCUAGAGGUCGAAGCGAAGCACUCUAGGCCAUCCCAACCCCCCUUUCUUGUACAGACCUGUGCAUGUGUAGUCAAUGUGAAAAUGAAAAAAAAACUGUUAAAGAGACCGAAUUUGAUGUUAAUACAUUUAGUGACAGUGAUGAUGAUAAUGAAGAUUAACUUUGAUGACAUUUGAUGUGCAGAGUAACUGUUUAAUUUUGAUUUUCAAUGAUUGUUUCACUUUAAUAAAUAAUUUCACAACUGUU